rnacentral:rRNA from 1 species
AUUGAACGCUGGCGGCAGGCUUAACACAUGCAAGUCGAGCGGAGCGAGGGUGCUUGCACCUUAGCUUAGCGGCGGACGGGUGAGUAAUGCUUAGGAAUCUGCCUAUUAGUGGGGGACAACAUUCCGAAAGGAAUGCUAAUACCGCAUACGCCCUACGGGGGAAAGCAGGGGAUCUUCGGACCUUGCGCUAAUAGAUGAGCCUAAGUCGGAUUAGCUAGUUGGUGGGGUAAAGGCCUACCAAGGCGACGAUCUGUAGCGGGUCUGAGAGGAUGAUCCGCCACACUGGGACUGAGACACGGCCCAGACUCCUACGGGAGGCAGCAGUGGGGAAUAUUGGACAAUGGGGAGAACCCUGAUCCAGCCAUGCCGCGUGUGUGAAGAAGGCCUUAUGGUUGUAAAGCACUUUAAGCGAGGAGGAGGCUACUGAGACUAAUACUCUUGGAUAGUGGACGUUACUCGCAGAAUAAGCACCGGCUAACUCUGUGCCGGCCGCCGCCGUAACAC